rnacentral:rRNA from 1 species
UACAGAGGGGGCAAGCGUUAUUCGGAAUUAUUGGGCGUAAAGGGCGCGUAGGCGGCCUGGCAAGUGGAAGGUGAAAUCCCUCGGCUUAACCGAGGAACUGCCCUCCAAACUGCUUGGCUUGAGACCGGGAGAGGUGAGUGGAAUUCCCAGUGUAGCGGUGAAAUGCGCAGAUAUCAGGAGGAACACCGAUUGCGAAGGCAGCUCGCUGGGACGUCACUGACGCUGAGACGCGAAAGCGUGGGGAGCAAACAGG